UACGAGGGGGGCAAGCUUUGUCCGGAAUUAUUGGGCGUAAAGAGCUCGUAGGCGGUCUGUCGCGUCGGCUGUGAAAACCCGGGGCUCAACCCCGGGCCUGCAGUCGAUACGGGCAGACUAGAGUGCGGUAGGGGAGACUGGAAUUCCUGGUGUAGCGGUGAAAUGCGCAGAUAUCAGGAGGAACACCGGUGGCGAAGGCGGGUCUCUGGGCCGUAACUGACGCUGAGGAGCGAAAGCGUGGGGAGCGAACAGG
rnacentral:rRNA from 1 species